GGACCUCAAGGUCUGUGUCAAUGGUUUCUCCCUCAGACCUGACACUCUGGAAACCUCGAAUAUGGAGUUCACACGUGCACCUGCAGCCAUAACUCGUGAUGGGGAUCAGCCGGAAGGAUGGUGCUGGUUCGCUCAGGUUUUCCCAUGAAGCUCCUCACAGAUUGGGCAACGUGCAAACGGGCCGACAUGUAAACGCUUGGGUAGAAACGGACAGAGGAGUGCCUCUUUGCCUGGGCGAGGCCUGGUCAUCCUUCAGAUCUCAGCUCAACACAUUGCCUUUCCAGGGAUGGCUUUUCUGACCCCCGGGCCAGAUCAGAAAAUCGUCACAGAGACCAAUUAAGAAGCUUGCAUGUAAAAAGUGGCAGAGCUGGGAUCCGAACCCUGGCAGUCUGGCUCUGGACACCACCUCUUGCCCAUCGCCCUCCACUGCUGUGCUGAUCUGUCGUCCUUCCCUCCCACUGCCAGUUCCCCUUUCCGUCCAACAGUUACUUAUUGAUCAGUCGCUCUGUUCCAAGCACUGUGCCAGUAGGGCCCAGCCCUUGUGGAGGUGACAGUCUGUCAGGUGGAGCCCUGGCUCUGCCAUGUCCUGAUCCCGUGACCUUGGAGAAGUCAUUUAACUUCGCUGUGUCUCAGUGUCUUCGUGAUGACAUGGUGUGAUAGUCCCGGUCUCCUCAGGCUGUGGGGAAGAUGGAGUGACUCAAAGCUGCGGAAAGCUGGGGCCGGGCACACGGAGGGCAUGGGAAGCAUGAGUGUAAUCCUAUUGGUGUCAUACUGGAGAAGCUCUUCCAACCCACGGGGCCUGGCCGCCAAGUGGAAGAGUGGAAGCAGCAGCAAGCCAGAGCCCGACACCCUGGCCUUAAGCCCUGGCUUUGGCACCGUGACUGUCCCAAACAUGGGAUUUUGGACAAGCUGCUUCGUCUUUCUGAUUUUUUUCCUCUGUAAAACAGGAAUGACUAAUACCAACCUUGUGGUGUCCUUGUGGUUGUUCAAUGAAGUAACAAGGCUGAGAGCUUGGCACAUAAUAGGGGCCUUUGGAAGAUUUCGUUUCCUGUCCUCUAGAGGAAUCGGGAGGCGGAAUAGCCCAGGGGUCAGCACAUCUGGAGGUCUGACGUGUCCCCUUCUCCCAGGGAAGGCCCCGACCUGACACGCUGCAGGAUGCUGUUUUCUUCUUUCGCUUCCUUUCUUUGUUCCUGUUCGAAUUUCGUUUCUUGAGAAAGAAGAGUGUUUCACACAGCCCCGCCCAUGCAUGGGGCUCUGUGUUAACUGUCCUGGUGCCUGGCAGAGGGCUCCGUCUUGGUCUUUUGUCCCCCAGGGCAGAUGGAGGACAGUUGGUGGGUGUGGGGUCGCAGGGCUGCUCUGCUCGUAAGGCCCCGAGAAACCAGAGGGCAGGCUGGGAGCUGAGGGCUGAGAGGCAGCUGAGGACUGGGAAGCCCCGUCUGGUCCAGCCUCCUCCAAGGUCAAGGGGUGUCCUGGCCCCCCUCUCUCCCCUCCCAU
rnacentral:lncRNA from 1 species